GCACUUGCGGCGCCGCACGCGGCCGCCUAUCUUCGAUCUGUUCGGGGCAACCCGGGCUAUGGACAUAAACGCGCACGUAAUAGGCGGUUCGGACCCGGGGGCGGUACCCGGCGACUCCACCAAAAUCACCCGCAUUGGGGGUGCAUGGGGUCGAAAUAGGAUCGACGGACGUUCAAAGGUGUUUGCUUUGUCCCGGUGAGGUACCACCGUUAUCGGUCCGAAAAGUACAGUUGCCAAUGACAACCGUGCUCCGGUCGCCCUUGCUGCGUAAGCAGUUCGAGUGAUCGAAAACUAAGCCCUUGCGCCUAGCAGCGUAAGGCGGGGCCCCCAGGCGCCUGGCAACAGAAGCCUGGGACU
rnacentral:tmRNA from 1 species